rnacentral:lncRNA from 1 species
CUCUAUCUUUCUCUUUCACAUUAUUUGGCCAAGCCCCUCUAUCGUGAGUUGUUUCUCCAUACUGAUGAUCAGACCCAGCUUCUUCUGCAUAACUUGACUCUCCUGCUCUACCACCAUGCUCGUCACCAGCCCAUCCACCCGCAUUAGGUUCUGACCACAUCCCCAUGUUAGGCCCCUCCAUACCAGCACCUGGCAUCAUUCCCAUACCAUUCAUUGGCAUUCCUCUACCAAAGAAUGCAGGAUUUACAUGCGGAGCUACUCCAGGCAUCCCAACUCCUCCAACAGGUGGAAAAGAUGACAACAUACCAGGAAAUGGUGGAGCUGGACCACCAGGAAAUCCUCCAUAACCACCCAUUCUCCCCAUAGGCCCUCCAAAAGCAGGAUCAAAGCCUUGACCCAUCAUUGUUUGAGGAUGCAUAAUAGGAGGUGCACCACCCAUACCUUGUCCAAAUCCACCUCCACCGUUACCCAUCAUACCCCUACCUGCAAUCCCACCAGGCCUGUUUCUCAUAGGACCUACAGGCCCCCGAUUUCCCAUAGCUUGAGGACCUCCUCUACCCCAAUUGCCUCUACCAUAACCCCCCCUGUUGCCAUCCCCACCACCACCGCCGCCUUGAUAAUUGCCACCAGUAGGAGUGUUGUUAUUUCCAAUUUUACCAGCAGCUUCACCAGGCCCCCGCCUUGCUUGGGGAACAGCAGUUUGAGCCACCUGCUGAUUUCGAUUCACCUGAGCCUCACCCAUCCUCUUCACAUUAUACGGUGAUGAUGCAUAAGCGACUACACAUGGUCGCCCAUUGAACAUAUGUCCAUUCAUACUUUCCUUGCAAGCUGUGGCAGCUGAGGAAUCAUGAAACUCAACCUGGCAAUAUCCUUUAGACUUCCCACUAGCUUUUUCUUCAAAAAAUUUCACCUCCUUCACGUGUCCAUACUUGCUCAGCUCAGCUUCCAGCUCAGCAUCUGUGGUCCACCAAUGCAAAUCACCAACAAAAAGAAUUGUCGCACCACCGCCGCCACCACCUCCUCCUCCACCACUAGCGACCCCAACUCCAGCAACAACAUUACCCGCCCCGUUCAUAUUAACCCCUCCUUGCCUUAUCAAAUUAUCAUUCCCCAUAUUUCCAACAUUACCCAGAUUUCCAGCAGCUACUGCAACACCACCACCAUGAGGCUGUUGAGCCAUCACCUGAUUUGGAACAUUACUAUUCACCAUCCGCUCUGCUAAAUCACCCAUCUUACUUGACGGAUGACUUAACUCAACCCUAAACCCACUACCAGCAGAAGUCCCAGACACAGCUGGACCUACGGACGCUCUAGCAGCAAUCCCAGACACUACAUCCUCCUCUUUUACAGGAUUCCUCUCCCCACCCACACCCUGAAAAUCGUCACGCCCACUCUCAUCGACCACUUGCGGUGCUGCCACCACCGGUGGUGGCGCCGGAAGGACAGGCUGCUCAGGCUUCCUCUCUACCUCCUCAUUCCUAGAUACUAAAUCCUCAUUCUUUCUAAAAGAUUGAAGAAAAUUCUCACCAACAUUAACAUCAUUGUAGAGAUCUUCGUAAUCAUCAUCCUCUUCAACCAUAAACCCAUCAUCGGCAACAGCAGAGAUCGCUUCAUUCCUGUGAAACUGCUCGAUUGGCUCUCCACCAACUCCAUCCCCACCUUCAUUAUCCUCCAUGACCUAAUCUAACAGGAUUAGGGUUACGAUCAGUUAUCACAAGCUCAAAUGAAGCUAAAUUUUUCAAAUUCUAACACUACUAGCUACGAAACGAAAAAAAUACCAAAAAAUUCAACAAAAUCAAACAAUCAACAAACAACAAAUUGAAAUUGAGGGAAUAAUCUUACCGGAGGAACAGCAAGUUGAAUUUGUCGAGCAGACUGAAUUUUUUAGGGAGAAAAGGGAAGAAACCCUAAUUCUGUGGAAAGUUUGAGUUGUGACAAGAAACUAUCAGAAAGAGGGGUAAAUAUUUGCCUUAUUUUUCCGUAUUUUAUAAUUUUAUAAGCGUUGACGAAUUGUUAUUUUGAGCUAGAUCCGCAGACCGUAGGUAACGUUUUGAUUCGAUUUUAUGUAUUAUCGAUUUUGAUUUAUUAAUUUUUUAUUUUCAAACAUGUUAAAUUUAUAUAUUUUUAAUAAGUUUUAUAUUUUUAACUGUUCGGUUUUUUUAUUUAAUCAAUAAAAAAAUGUUUAUAAAAUAAAUAUAGGAAAAAUUACAUGAAUUAAUAUAUUUUAAAAAUAAUACUGAUUUUAGCGAUACUUUUAUUUAUUAUCAUUUAUAGCAAUAUUGUGAUAAAUCUGUAACAUGUAUUAUGCAAUAUAUUUAAAUUAUAAUUGUUUUUGAAAUAUAUUGUGUUUAUUCGGUAAAAAAUAGUCAUAUCGUAUUAUAAGUGAAUCAAAAUGCGUGAUAAAUGUAUCAUUCAUUAUUAAAACUUGUAUUAUAUAUGAAUAAUAAAUUGUUCUUUGUAAUAUGUAUUAAGCUUGUAUUAUAAAUGAAUUAAAAGUGAUCAAGUGAAAAACAAAAAGUUAUUGCUAUAAAUGGUAAAUAUUUUUUUAUUGUAGCACAUUUAUGUAAGUUCCCCAAUAUAUGACUUCAACCAAUAAUUUGACGCGACAAAACAAUAAUGUAACUAUAGAGAAAUACUCAUAAAAUAUAAAUAACAAUAGCUAACAUGGAAAGAAUUAUUCAAGGAAGACACAAAUAAAAGAAAGUGUGAAUUCAAAGUCAUUGCUAAAUGUUAGUAUUCCAUGUACACUUUUCAAAAACUUGUAACAAGAAAAAUUCUAUGUACACUUGCAGAAGGAAGAAUAAGCGCUAAACAACAACAUAUGCCCAACUAAAAAACUGGGUCAAAAACAAAGAAACAACGAUGAUACAAAGAGAAAAACAAGUAGUACAACAAACGCCAGAGCAAGGGAUCAGAUCGGCGCCAACCUGUGGGUCAAAUCCUAUUAACACAUUACAUCAAAUAGCAAAUGUCUAUGAUAAUCUAUAACUAGGCUUCCAAUAAAGUCACAAGUCACCAGAAAGGAUUAUUCAGGUCACAUUCAACAAAAACAUAAAUUCAAAAACUGACAUAAAAGGUUCCACUAGCAAUUCAAUCUUCACUGAGAGGUUAAACCAUAUAAUAUAACAUUCUUCCUCAGGCAGAAGCUUCAAGGAGUUCCCUUCCAUACCUCUUCACACAGCUUGCUCUACGUCCUCCAUGCUAUAAUCACAAGAAACCAAACAAAAUUUGUAAUCAACACCUUGCAGGAAAAAGAACAAUCAAACAUUGGAACUACAGUCAGUCAGUCUCAUGGUAAAAAUCAAAAUUCACAAGUCUAAAUAAGCACACAACUAUUCCUCCUCAUUGCCGAGUAAGUCGGUAUCAGCUAUAUGUAUCCUUCUUACUAAUCAUGUUUCUCAAAUUAAACUCACCUCAUCCCAACAUUGGUCCAAGAAAAAAAACUGCUCCCUUCGAUUUCCCAAUUUCCUCCCAAGAAAAAUGCCAUACUUGCAAAUAUUUUUCUUUAAACUUCUAACCUUACACUUGAUGAUAUGAUUUCUUUUAUUGUUCUUUAUGAGAUCAUUUAUAACCAAAUAAAUGUUUAUGGUUUGUUUUAGACCAUAAAUAAAGUAAGCAGUAGUAUCAAUGGCAUCAAGAAGAUGCAUAAUUACAAACGAGAGAGAUUGUUACCUCAGUUACAAUGAGUCCUAUGCUAUGUAUAAGGAGCUAACAAAAUCCAAAAGUUUGACAUCAGAGUCCACUGGGGAAAAGCUAUUCCAACUACAUAAAUUUUGAAGACAUCUAGCCUUAAGGGAGUACUUUGGAGUAGAUAUUUCAACAAAACAUCUUCAGUUUCACUCCUUCCAAACACAUCAUAGAUUUUUCCAAGAGAAUCCAACUGAUGUAGUCCUUCAUACUUUCAGGCAUAACUAAGUUUAGUUCAAAAAGUCGAUCAUCCAUUCUAAAACUUCGCACAGUCAAACACGACCACAUACAUUGGUACGGAAGGAGUAUUAAAUUGGAAACCUACUUCUGCUAAAAUUACUAAAAAAUCUCAAGCUUAUGCUGGAAAUGCAGCACUUCCUAUUAAGAACCCCACCAAGAAGAACCUGAGAGAAAUGUUAAUUAUAGCCCUCCACAACAAAGGAGUACCAGGAAGUCAGUCUAUUAGGAUUCAUGAUUAGUUAACAAAGUAAGUUAUGAAAUUUGAAAACCUUGCAGGGUUUUCAAAAUGCCAUGUUUUUUUUUAAAUUUCCCAAAUAACAAAAAUUAGACAUAAAUCAGCUUGAAGGAUAUAACAACAAAGUGCAAAGACAACGAAGACUGAUGGUUCACAAAAGAUAUAUAUGCUGUUCACUUAUAGAAUUGAAUGAGCAACUUCAUGCACUCCCCAAGGAUUUCCCAUGGCUUUUAUAGUAUCAGUCACUUUCUUAUGAAGUUAAAUUCUACAUGAAGCAUAUGUUUGGCCAUGAAUAUUUGUACUUUUUUCCCAGAGUUGAAUUCUGGAAAUCAUGUUAGGCCAUAAAGCUCCGGAAUGCAACUUACUUCCAAAAAAAGUCAAAAUUUGAGAACACCAAGUUCACAAACAACUCCAAUUGAUAUUCAUGGCCAAACACAACUCCAAUUCCCAAAUACCAUUUUUCACUUUGAAAGCAAAUACUGCCUUUUUCCAAAACUCACAAGUUUCAUGGUCAAACGGGUCCUAAUAAUCAUCUUUUUUUUUCAGCAGCUCUACCCUACAAAGGUCGAGGUACGAUUUGCGUACAUCCUAUCCUUCCCAAACCCCACUUGUGGAAUGGCAUGUUGUUGUUGUUAUAAUUUUUUUAAUAAGAUAGCAGUGUAUUCUUCAGUACCAAGAUGGUACUGGCAGUCAAAUAUUUACAGAACAUAAAACAUAUUCUAGAUUACAAGAGUCAAAAAAAAAAUCUACAACUGAUUCAGUAUCCUCUAUAUAGUUCUCUUUACACCGGAAUUCAGAAAACAAAAAACGCCUCCGCUUUAGCAUAUAACAUUACACAGCAAAUCAUAAAGAAAGCUUUCCAUGAAUGACCAGCAUCAAACAGUGAAAACUUUGGUUACAUAAAGUUCCACAUAAAUAAUAGUAGUCCCCUCCCAACUAGCACAUCAUGCUUGAGAAAGCCCUUCAGACAAAGAACAUCCUCCUAAACAGAGAAAUAGCAAAUACAGGUAGUAUUCAUUACCAAAAGCAACUAAUUCAAUGUAAGAGGGGCUGUGAACUUACUUCUUAGUGCUGAGAGACCAGUGCUCCUUAAACAGGAAAAGAGCAUAAACAUGUAUGCAACAGAACAUUUCAGAGAGCAACUGUUUGAUGAACGCAGGAAGAAAAGGAAGCCUCCCAGUAGAAAGCCUGGAUACACAUGGUAAACCCUCAGUAGAUUAGCUACUAAUCGAUCUCAUUGUGAAGUACCCUUGAAAAUAAGCAGCCAAGCCACAGAUCACUCGGACGUUAUACGCCGCCUCUUUCCAUAAUCAGCAUCCCUUGAUCUUGACCGAUGGUCUUCCUCAUGUGAUAAUCGUGAUUUGCUGUGUCCUCUUGAUGAUCUUCCUCUGUCUUCAUCAUCAUAUUCUUGCUCACGGUCCUUGUACCUGUGAUGAUCAGCAUAUCUAUCUCUAUCAUCCCUAUGACGAUCACGAUCUCGAUCCCUCUCGCGAUCACGCCCUCGUUCUCUAGGACGUUCAUGAUCCCGGUCCCUCUCUCUGUCUCGUGCGACAUCUCUAUCAUCGCGGUAUCUUUUCUCUGGCCAAUCCUGGUCGUGGCCCCGAUCCUUUUCACGAGCCAUGUCUCUAUCAUAGGAUGGUUCUCUGCCUUCUCUAUGUUUUCUAUCUGUAGAACCAGACCAAUCACGCUCUGAUCCUCUAUCUUUCUCUUUCACAUUAUUUGGCCAAGCCCCUCUAUCGAGAGUUGUUUCUCCAUACUGAUGAUCAGACCCAGCUUCUUCUGCAUAACUUGACUCUCCUGCUCUACCACCAUGCUCGUCACCAGCCCAUCCACCCGCAUUAGGUUCUGACCACAUCCCCAUGUUAGGCCCAUCCAUACCAGCGCCUGGCAUCAUUCCCAUACCAUUCAUUGGCAUUCCUCUACCAAAGAAUGCAGGAUUUACAUGCGGAGCUACUCCAGGCAUCCCAACUCCUCCAACAGGUGGAAAAGAUGACAACAUACCAGGAAAUGGUGGAGCUGGACCACCAGGAAAUCCUCCAUAACCACCCAUUCUCCCCAUAGGCCCUCCAAAAGCAGGAUCAAAGCCUUGACCCAUCAUUGUUUGAGGAUGCAUAAUAGGAGGUGCACCACCCAUACCUUGUCCAAAUCCACCUCCACCGUUACCCAUCAUACCCCUACCUGCAAUCCCACCAGGCCUGUUUC